rnacentral:rRNA from 1 species
CCUACGGGAGGCAGCAGUGAGGAAUAUUGGUCAAUGGGCGCGAGCCUGAACCAGCCAAGUAGCGUGAAGGAUGACUGCCCUACGGGUUGUAAACUUCUUUUAUAAAAGAAUAAAGUGAGGCACGUGUGCCUUUUUGUAUGUACUUUAUGAAUAAGGAUCGGCUAACUCCGUGCCAGCAGCCGCGGUAAUACGGAGGAUCCGAGCGUUAUCCGGAUUUAUUGGGUUUAAAGGGAGCGUAGAUGGGUUGUUAAGUCAGUUGUGAAAGUUUGCGGCUCAACCGUAAAAUUGCAAUUGAUACUGGUAGGCUUGAGUACAGUUGAGGUAGGCGGAAUGUGUGGUGUAGCGGUGAAAUGCUUAGAGAUCACGCAGAACUCCGAUUGCGAAGGCAGCUUACUAAACUGCCACUGACAUUGAUGCUCGAAAGUGUGGGGAGCAAACAGGAUUAGAUACCCUAGUAGUC